AGAGAGAGAGAGAGAUAUGAAGGUAGCCUUUUGCUCAGUUUCAUCAGCAUCACUGUUGAAGCCUCUCCCCAAUGUCUACAGUGUUUCUUUCAAGCCUAACCAAGCUUCCAAGAGUCAUAAAAUCAAGGCAGAGAUCGAAUUUAGGGUUUGUGUGAACAGGGCAUGUCGACGACAAGGCUCCAGAGAAACCCUCGAAAUCCUAUCAAGUCUCGCCCCUGCUGAUGUCUCCGUCAACUCUUGCGGUUGUUUGAGUCGAUGUGGCGCAGGUCCCAACCUCGUUGUCUUGCCCGACACCAUCAUGGUCAGCCAUUGUGGGACUCCUUCACGAGUUGCCGAAGUAAUGCUGAGCUUCUGUGGUGGCCGCAGUGAUUCUUUGGAUGCUAAGAAGAAUCUUGAGGCGCUUGCGUUGAGGAAGAGAGGAGAGGAGGCGUUGGAGAAGGGAAACUUUGCAGAGGCUGAGCUUUUAUUCUCUCAGGCUCUUGGUCUCAAACCUUUUGGAGGUCUACAUAUCAUUCACACAAGCAGGUCUGCUGCAAGAUUGGCUAUGGGCAACACUUCUGGAGCCCUAGAGGAUGCUGAAGCUGCUUCAGCACUAGCUCCUCAAUAUCCUAAGGCAUAUAUUUGCAAAGCUGAUGCUUUCUUGGCUCUGGAAGAAUUUGAAGCGGCUGAGAAUUCAUAUUCAAUUGCUUUACAGAUCGAUCCUUCCAUUCGUCGUUCCAAAUCUUUCAAGGCACGGAUUGCAAAACUUCAGGAGAAACUUGCAGCUGCAAAUCUGCUUCCUUAGCUUCAAUGUUUUGACUGAGGAACCACUGUGAUGCUCAGCUUCUGACCAUAUUCACAGUGUUUUCCAACUCCGCAGAUGUACCAAAAGGUCCCGAGCGCUGUUAAAUGUAUGGAGUCAUUGCCAGUUACAAGCAUCCCAAAAAUCGGCUCUCUUAUACAGUUCUCAUAGCCAGUCUUGUUUACUUGCAUUACAUUUUGAUGGCAACUGGUCUCCUGCAGCUUUUUGUGAGGCAAACAAUACAAUGGCCAGAGAGAGUAUACAUUAUUUCCUGUGUACCUG